GAUGAAGAACGUAGCGAAAUGCGAUAAGUAAUGUGAAUUGCAGAAUUCAGUGAAUCAUCGAAUCUUUGAACGCACCUUGCGCUCGUUGGUAUUCCGACGAGCAUGCCUGUUUGAGUGUCAUUAAAUUCUCAACCUCACCACUUUUGUAAUGAAAGUGUGUGUUGGCUUGGAUGUGGGGGUUUGCAGGUCCGCUCUUUUGUGGUCUGCUCCUCUGAAAUGUAUUAGUGGGUUUGGUCCCCUAAUCUAUUGGUGUGAUAAUUAUCUACGCCGUGGAUUGGAAGACUAUUAUGAACCUGCUUCUAACCGUCCCUUACACGGACAAUACUUGACAUUUUUGACCUCAAAUCAGGUAAGACUACCCGCUGAACUUAAGCAUAUCAAUAAGCGGAGGA
rnacentral:misc_RNA from 1 species